GACGAACGCUGGCGGCGUGCUUAACACAUGCAAGUCGAACGGACAGGCCCUGCUUUUGUGGGUUUCUCGAGUGGCGCACGGGUGAGUAUCACGUGAGUAACCUGCCCUUGACUUUGUGAUAACUUCAGGGAACUUUGGCUAAUACCGGAUAUGAUCUCCUGCUGCAUGUUGUUUGUUGGAAAGUUUCGGCUUUUGUGGAUCGACUCGCGGCUUAUCAGCUUGUUUGUGGGGUAGUGGCUUACCAAGGCUUUGACGGGUAGCCGGCCUGAGAGGGGUAACGGCCUCAUGGGGACUGAGAGAGGGACCAGAAGCGUAAGGGACGCAGCAGGGGGGAAUAUUGCACAAUGGGCGGAAGCGUGAGGCAGAAAUGCCGCGUGCGGGAUAACGGGCUUCGGGUGGAAAACCGAUGUCGAAUGUGACGAAGAGGGAGUGACGGUAAUGAGUAAAGAAGCAACGGCUAACUACGUG
rnacentral:rRNA from 1 species